rnacentral:misc_RNA from 1 species
GGAAAACUCCAGGGAUCACAGUAACCAGCUGAUUAAAGAAUCAAACUGCUCAAUGAAUAAAACUGUCCAUUCAAUGAUAUUCUUUUGUCUGGUUGAAUGGCAGGAUGAUAUUUUAAACAACGCUGCAUUGCAGUUUCAACUUUUUGGGAGCUCGCACAGAGAAGCUGAAGUUGCCAACAUCCCAGAAUCCAAUAAUUUGUUUUUUUCCGGAUAGGAGAUAAAUAUGUGUACCGGUAUUUCUAUAUAGGAUAAUGAUUUACAUUUUACAUUUCUACGAUAUUAGAUGAACAUUUAUUAGUAUUAUAAAUAUUUUGUAGAAAUUUUGAUUUUUUAGAAUAUCCCAUUGAGGCUGUUUGUAUAAAAGAGAUUUAUGAGCGAAUUAUUCAUUUAAACAUGUUCUUGUAUAUACAUUUACUGCAUAUAAUGUGUAAACUCAGUUUGCUGCUUCAAAUCUUCCUUACCUUUAUCUUAUUCUUUAUAAGUAACUGUAUUAUGUUGUACUAUAAAUUCUUUUAGAUAUAAACAUAAACUUUAAAACUGUAGGUUGAAUAAGAGGGUAUGUUGUGCCAUACGCAGAGCUAUAUAUUUAGAUGUACAUGUAUUAUCAUUUGUUUACAUUUAAUCAAUUAUGUAUCCAUAUAUUUUACAUCACAAUCAUGACUGUAAAAUCUUGUAAAAUGAUAUUUGUUGCUAUUUGUACAUGAAUAUGUAUUAAAAUACCCCAAAUAUCUUAAACCAAGCAGUUACCAGUAUUAGUGCUUUUUUUUUCUCACUUUGUAGAGAGUGAUACAAUGUACACUUUCCAUCACUGUGCUAUAGUUUUUGAAAAUGUAAUUUAUAAGUUAAACAAACUGAUUCUAGAGAAUACCAUGUUUUCCAGGCAAGCAUUUUGAAAACUAUUGCAGAAUCAUAAAUUUUGCGGGGGCCAAUUUUCGUGGAAUACUUAAAUUUUACAGGUUCGUGGGGACAUAGUUUCAUGAAUUCUCCUAUACCUACCAAAGGAAAUAUGACUUUAUUACACUAAUUCAUUAAUUCAUGGAGGACAUUCAUUCGUGGAUGAGAGUUACCGAAGAAUUCCACAAAAAUUGAACCACCACAAAAUCUAAUGAUUCCACAGUAAUAUUCUUGUGUAAUAGAAUCAGAAUUUGGUACAUAUUUUACUGACUAGAAUGAAAAGAUGAUUCACAACUUGUAAAAAUAGCUUUAAUUCAUCUUUUUAUAAUGAACAAAAACCAUAUGUUUCAGAGAGGAACUACUUUCUGUCUAAUUUCUUUUCCAUGAUUUUAACUGUCAUACUAUGUACGUGCAUUGGCAUACAAAAUGUAUCAAUAAAAACAUACAAAAUGUAUACAUGAAGGCAAAAUCUUUAGAAUAAAAGGAUUUUCA